rnacentral:rRNA from 1 species
UACGAAGGGGGCUAGCGUUGCUCGGAAUUACUGGGCGUAAAGGGAGCGUAGGCGGAUAGUUCAGUCAGAGGUGAAGGCCCAGGGCUCAACCUUGGAACUGCCUUUGAUACUGGCUAUCUUGAGUUUGGGAGAGGUGUGUGGAACUCCGAGUGUAGAGGUGAAAUUCGUAGAUAUUCGGAAGAACACCAGUGGCGAAGGCGACACACUGGCCCAAUACUGACGCUGAGGCUCGAAAGCGUGGGGAGCAAACAGG